rnacentral:rRNA from 1 species
GAAGCUGCGGCAGCGACACUAUGUGUUGUUGGGUAGGGGAGCGUUCUGUAAGCCUGUGAAGGUGUGUCGUGAGGCAUGCUGGAGGUAUCAGAAGUGCGAAUGCUGACAUAAGUAACGAUAAAGCGGGUGAAAAGCCCGCUCGCCGGAAGACCAAGGGUUCCUGUCCAACGUUAAUCGGGGCAGGGUGAGUCGACCCCUAAGGCGAGGCCGAAAGGCGUAGUCGAUGGGAAACGGGUUAAUAUUCCCGUACUUGGUGUUACUGCGAAGGGGGGACGGAGAAGGCUAUGUUGGCCGGGCGACGGUUGUCCCGGUUUAAGCGUGUAGGUGUGUGUUCCAGGUAAAUCCGGUUCACUUUAACACUGAGGCGUGACGACGAGGCACUACGGUGCUGAAGCAACAAAUGCCCUGCUUCCAGGAAAAGCCUCUAAGCAUCAGGUAACAUCAAAUCGUACCCCAAACCGACACAGGUGGUCAGGUAGAGAAUACCAAGGCGCUUGAGAGAACUCGGGUGAAGGAACUAGGCAAAAUGGUGCCGUAACUUCGGGAGAAGGCACGCUGACACGUAGGUGAAGUGAUUUACUCAUGGAGCUGAAGUCAGUCGAAGAUACCAGCUGGCUGCAACUGUUUAUUAAAAACACAGCACUGUGCAAACACGAAAGUGGACGUAUACGGUGUGACGCCUGCCCGGUGCCGGAAGGUUAAUUGAUGGGGUCAGCGCAAGCGAAGCUCCUGAUCGAAGCCCCGGUAAACGGCGGCCGUAACUAUAACGGUCCUAAGGUAGCGAAAUUCCUUGUCGGGUAAGUUCCGACCUGCACGAAUGGCGUAAUGAUGGCCAGGCUGUCUCCACCCGAGACUCAGUGAAAUUGAACUCGCUGUGAAGAUGCAGUGUACCCGCGGCAAGACGGAAAGACCCCGUGAACCUUUACUAUAGCUUGACACUGAACAUUGAGCCUUGAUGUGUAG